AAAAACCCGAUCCAAUCCUUUUUCCUUUUUCCUUUCUCUUCCUCUUUCUCUCUCGCGCGAACGCCCGACGCCGACUCCUGCCCCGACGAUCGACGAUUCUCUUCUUCUUCUCUCGGUGUCGCUGGCGAGGAGCGGAUCUUGGAGCAUUGAGAGGAAGGGGUUAGCUAUAGCCGAACCCUCUUUCUCCCCAGCUUUUCUCUCCUCUCUGGUCUCAGUGAAUAGCAGCGACGGAUCUCCGAUCUGUUGAUUUUGCCUGCUGUCGGAAGGGAAUAGAGGGCACUAGCGUUGGAUCUGGCCAGUGUCGACCGAUUGGGUGAGGUAACAACCAUUGUCCUUUCUUGAACUCUUUCUCUGUUCGUCAGCAAGAACAAAUCGUGCCCUAGCCGUGAUUUUUUUGAGCAAUGCUUGCAUUUUAGGUUUCGACCACCAUAGCACUGUUGAAUCGCUUUCUUUGUCGAAUCUGUGAUCAACACCGGUGAUUGAAGAAGAAGAGGCGACCAUGUCAUCCUUGUGGGUGAGUGAGUCAUCGGGCUGCGCCGCACACUUCGCCACUCAUGGGUAGUGGUAGCUGGAGGAGAUAUCGUUUGUCCUGUCGUGUCGCACUCGACCACUCAUGGGUUGUGGUAGCUGGAGUUGCGAGCAGCAAGGACCCUUUUCCCUUUGUAGCUACUUAGCUACUUAGCUCCCGCCCAUUCGGUCACUCGAGAGUAGUGGCGGCCUUUGAGUGGUACAAUUGUCAUCGAUCCGACCUUUCGACCAUAUAGGGGUCGUGGUGCAGAGAGGUAGCAGGUAAAUGAUACAAGAGCGCUUGGAGGAUCCUGACUGCCAUCCCCAUGUCACAUAUGAGUACAGACUUUCAGGUUUUGUUGAGACUUUGUUUUCUUUGAUUUCAUAAAUUUGGUUCUGUAAUAAUUUUGAUGUGGACUUGGAACUUAGUCUUGUGAUUGUGUGCAUUUUGGUUUGUUCGUCUUGUGUCAAGACGGGUCGGCUCGCAUGUGGUUAUUUUAUGGUUUUGUGAUGAGUUGUUUUGUGAUUUCUGUUGUUCUUUUAUUUCA